rnacentral:rRNA from 1 species
CCUACGGGAGGCUGCAGUGAGGAAUAUUGGUCAAUGGACGAGAGUCUGAACCAGCCAAGUAGCGUGAAGGAUGACUGCCCUAUGGGUUGUAAACUUCUUUUAUAUGGGAAUAAAAUGUUCCACGUGUGGGAUUUUGUAUGUACCAUAUGAAUACGGAUCGGCUAACUCCGUGCCAGCAGCCGCGGUAAUACGGAGGAUACGAGCGUUAUCCGGAUUUAUUGGGUUUAAAGGGAGCGUAGGUGGAUUGUUAAGUCAGUUGUGAAAGUUUGCGGCUCAACCGUAAAAUUGCAGUUGAAACUGGCAGUCUUGAGUACAGUAGAGGUGAGCGGAAUUCGUGGUGUAGCGGUGAAAUGCUUAGAUAUCACGAAGAACUCCGAUGGCGAAGGCAGUUCACUGGACUGCAACUGACACUGAGGCUCGAAAGUGUGGGUAUCAAACAGGAUUAGAUACCCCUGUAGUC